GUUGAUAAGGUUAAGUGAAUAAGGGCGCACGGUGGAUGCCUUGGCACUAGGAGCCGAUGAAGGACGGGACUAACACCGAUAUGCUUUGGGGAGCUGUACGUAAGCUAUGAUCCAGAGAUUUCCGAAUGGGGGAACCCAGCAUCUUUUAUAGGAUGUUACGUUUGCGUGAAUACAUAGCGCAUUCGAGGUAGACGCAGAGAACUGAAACAUCUAAGUACCUGCAGGAAGAGAAAGAAAAUUCGAUUCCCUGAGUAGCGGCGAGCGAAACGGGAAAAGCCCAAACCAAUGAGCUUGCUCAUUGGGGUUGUAGGACUCCAAUAUGGUAGUUCUUUCAGAUAGUCGAAUGACUUGGAAAAGUCAGUCAAAGAGGGUAAAAACCCCGUAGAUGAAAUUUGGAAGGCACCUAGGAGGAUCCUGAGUACGGCGGAACACGAGGAAUUCCGUCGGAAUCCGGGAGGACCAUCUCCCAAGGCUAAAUACUCCCUAGUGACCGAUAGUGAACCAGUACCGUGAGGGAAAGGUGAAAAGCACCCCGGAAGGGGAGUGAAAUAGAACCUGAAACCGUGUGCCUACAACAAGUCAAAGCCCGUUAAUGGGUGAUGGCGUGCCUUUUGUAGAAUGAACCGGCGAGUUACGAUUGCAUGCGAGGUUAAGUUGAAGAGACGGAGCCGCAGCGAAAGCGAGUCUGAAUAGGGCGUUUGAGUAUGUAGUCGUAGACCCGAAACCAUGUGAUCUACCCAUGUCCAGGUUGAAGGUGCGGUAAAACGCACUGGAGGACCGAACCCACGUACGUUGAAAAGUGCGGGGAUGAGGUGUGGGUAGCGGAGAAAUUCCAAACGAACUUGGAGAUAGCUGGUUCUCUCCGAAAUAGCUUUAGGGCUAGCCUCGGAAUUGAGAAUGAUGGAGGUAGAGCACUGUUUGGACUAGGGGCCCAUCUCGGGUUACCGAAUUCAGAUAAACUCCGAAUGCCAUUCAUUCAUAUCCGGGAGUCAGACUGUGAGUGAUAAGAUCCAUAGUCGAAAGGGAAACAGCCCAGACCACCAGCUAAGGUCCCAAAAUAUAUGUUAAGUGGAAAAGGAUGUGGGGUUGCACAGACAACUAGGAUGUUGGCUUAGAAGCAGCCACCAUUUAAAGAGUGCGUAAUAGCUCACUAGUCGAGUGACCCUGCGCCGAAAAUGUACCGGGGCUAAACAUAUUACCGAAGCUGUGGAGUACACCUUUAGGUGUAUUGGUAGGAGA
rnacentral:rRNA from 1 species